CAGAAAAUAGUUUAAUUUUAAAAUAUUAAUUUUGGAGAUUAAUGAUAAAAGUCUUUUUUUUCUGA
rnacentral:tRNA from 1 species